GUGUAAGUGUAACUAAUUUCAGGCUGUGAUAGUCUUCCUUUGGAUGCCAUGGAAUAAAUAUUCUAAGGUUUUGUUUCAUUUAUAGUUUAUGAUCAAAGACAAAAGCUAAUUUUUCUUUUCUUUUUUUCCUUUAUAGAGCGGAUCCCCUACUUUAGUCAGAAGUGAUUCCUCUGUAAAUGACUCGUCUUCCUCUGGAGGCAGCCAGUACAACAGCCAAGAUUCAUAUUCCUCUGGAGCUAGCCAGUAUGGAGGACAUGUAAGCUUUUCCUUUUAAUAUUUUAUAUUAUUUUUUAUAAAUAGUUGACUCAUAUUAAGGAUCUCAGUUUAAUAUAUCAAGAAAAUUGACAGUGGU
rnacentral:lncRNA from 1 species